GUAAGCAACCCCCGGAUUCAAUCCGGGGGCUUCAGCAAGUGUUGAAGCCCUAGCUUACCAGACUAAGUACUUCGUGUACUACGUUCAGAACAAGUGUUGAAGUUCCUACCUACAAAUGCGUAGCUAGUUUGUAGCUCUAGAAUCAAAGGAUUAAACAGGUAUAUGGGUUAAGCCAGUGUCUUUUGAAUAGUACCGAUUCUGAACAUUGUCGAAGCUAACUUUAC
rfam:Scytonema millei VB511283 scaffold_274, whole genome shotgun sequence.